UUGUUUUGUUUUUUGUUUUAUGUUGUUUGUAUUUUUUGUUGUUAAUUGAAGUGUCAUUGGUUGUUGUUGUAGUUUUUUGAUUUAAUUUUUUAUGCUAUAGUUUACUUGUACUGUGAGGGGUUAUUUAAUUGUUUUGUUAAAAGUUGGCUUUGUUUGUUGUACCUUGUGUAUCAGGGUUUAUUGAAUUUUAUUAUUUAUUUUUAUUUCCCGAUUUUAAAGGAGUUAAUAGUUUAUGUUAGUUACUGUUUUAUUAGUAUUAAUAAUAGACUGUUGGUAGUGAAAUGUUAUUCGUUUUUGGUGGUUUCUGGUUUUUCAAGAAAUGAAUUUAAUUCAUGCUCUUUAUUUAAAAUUUAUUGUUUAUUGAUUUUUUUUUAUUUGGUGUUAAGGUUGAGGGGGAUUAGCUCUUCAUUUUAUUUUUAUAACUUAUUUGUUGAUUUAGUUUUGUGGAUUUUAUGGUGAUUUUCAAUUUGAUUAUGUUAAAAUUUUGUUUAUUCUUUUUUUUAUUUGGUGAUUGGUUUAGUUAUUUUAUUGGAAUGUUUUCUUUAUUUUGUUUUGUGUAGUAAUUAUUAUGGAAUUAGUAAAUUUAUUUGUUUUGUUUUUCUUUAGCUGUUAAUUUCUUUUAAGGAAUUAGGCAAAUUUUGCAUGUCCGCCUGUUUAACAAAAACAUCUUUUCUUGUUAGUUUUUGAAGUAUGGCCUGCCCGCNNNNNNNNNNNNNNNNAUGUGAGCUGUCUUGGUGUUGAAUUGUUUAUUGAAUUUGGUUUUUGAGUUAAAAUUCUUAGAUGUAUUUAUGGGACGAGAAGACCCUAUAGAGUUUGACAGUUUUAUGUGUUAUUUAUUUGUUUGUUUUUGUGUUUUGCAUAGUUUACUGUUUUGUUGGGGUGAUGGGAGGAAUUUUCUUAACUCCUCUUUUUUGUGGUAUAUUGAUUUAUGUUUAUUUUGAUCCAUUUAUUUUGAUUAUAAGAUUAAAUUACCUUAGGGAUAACAGCGUUAUCUUCCUUGAGAGUUCUUAUUGGCAGGGAGGUUUGCGACCUCGAUGUUGGAUUAAGAUUAAUUUUUGGUGUAGGAGCUGAAUAGUUGAUUGGGUCUGUUCGACCUUUAAAAUCUUACAUGAUCUGAGUUCAAACCGGCGUGAGCCAGGUUGGUUUCUAUCUAUAAUGAAUUUUUAUGCCUUAGUACGAGAGGACCGGGUAU
rnacentral:rRNA from 1 species